GCCCUUGUAGCCCAAUUUGGAAGCAGGCGCUUCCCUUAGAAGGAAGAGGUUGCUGGUUCGACUCCAGUCAAGGGCA
rnacentral:tRNA from 2 species